GUCAAUUAUACUUCAUCAAUCUUUAAUUUAUAAAAUCGAUUAAAUUUAAUGGAUUAAAUACAAGAAUAUAUAAAAAAAUCUUUUUUUAGUUGUCGUAAAGAAUUAUUCUGCGAAAUAUAAUAAGACAAAUGAAGUUCUAAAUUUGCAACGUGAAAGAGAAUGCAGAGACUGUGUUUUGCUCUUUAGAAAGGGAUGGGUUCAUUAAUAAACACUGCUAACCGCCACCAACAUAGUUGAUUUCCCUAGAGACUGUCUUCCCCAUUCUCGUUCCAUGACCCUCUCCACUAACACAAAUGACCCAGUAAUCUCAAACAUACAAAUUGCGUUUGUUAUGUAAUUUGAUAAUUAAAUCCUUUUUUUUUGAGCUGGAAGUAAAAAAGAAUACCGUUUAAAGAAAAACCGUGUUAAAAAAGACUGACUUUGAGUAAUUGCUACGGCAAUUACCGAAUGACAUUGAUCCCCCCAUAUAGAAUUGAAUGGGGGAUUAACGAAAAUCCAUUCGAUCGCGCCCCCUUUGCAAAUUGUAACGUGGAUCGGUUACGGUUGGUGCGAUUUUUUUAUUUACCUGACAUUGAAUCUUGAUUGGAAGUUGAUCAAACCAGCAAUCAACAAAAUCCAUCAAGUAAAUAUAAAAGAUAACCACCAUCUAUCGAAAUUUCUAUAGAGAAUGAAGUUUCUUCAUGGUGUUUUAUACUUCCAAUAAAUUUCAUGGUUGUUAUACAUAAUAGAUAAAAGCAAGCGAAAUGGCACUACACAUCAAGUUUCACAUACGUGGAUAUACGUGAUAUGUAGCUUCCGGAAUUGAUAAGCCCAACAACCAAAACUGAAACACAAUCGAAACAACCAUUUCAGUUUACGAUAGUUUAUUCAAAAACGAACAAAAACCAAGCUGACGAUAAAACUUUUGAACGUUCAAAAUAUUAUACGAAUAUAUUUUGCUCACUUUUGCGGAAUAAUAAGUUUUGUUUUUAGUGGGACAGAGGUGGAGGACGUUGUUUUCUUGUGCGCAGCUAGCAUAAAUCGGAAGCGCUACGUGGUCGUUAUUUAUGUGUCGGGAACACGUGUGGGACUGAAAGUGUUUUCAAGAGGCGGUAAUAUACGGGGUUGAAUUGGAAUUUUCGUUUUUAAUUUCUUUUUUUUUGGGAGCUAUUAAAAAAAAUAAGUGGCGCUUGACGUUCCCACAAAAAUGCGAUGGAAUGAAAGAAAAUUGUACGUGUCACCCGAAAAACGUAUUUGGAGUUACGCCAAGACAAGAUUUCCACAGCAAUUUCAACAACGUUGAAACAAAAUCAUUUUGUCAUCAAGAAACCUUAAAAAGAACAAUUAAAAAUAAAUAAUGUUUUUUUUUGUUAGUAUUCUUUAACCCGUGUUAAGGCCUACUUCUUCCAGAUAUUCAGGAGCCUUCAAUAUCUUGUGUUCUUCAAAAUCUCCAUGGAACCUUACCAAAUCCUUCAAAUUCAACUCAUCCAGUUUCGGUAUUAAGAGCUCGUUCUCUCUACAUGGCUACCGCGUUUCCAGUUUCAAAAAAGUAUGGCUCAAUCACAUAUUCUGCAUACUGACUUAAUCGAGAAAAACAGCUACGCUGAUGUGGCCAGAUACAAAGAAUGAAUGGUCAGGUUAGGUCUAAAAAGUUUUGAAACUCAGAGUGCAGGAGAGAAGAAGACGGGGAUGACCGUAAUAGAGAUGGGGCGAAGUCAUGAGGUAAGCGUUAGAGAUGAGAGGAACAAAUUGGACGAAAGAUAGAAUAUUGGCGAGAAAGCAUCUGAAUGUUGUAGGGAAAUAUCUUUAAAUAUAAAGUCAAAAUUCUUUGAAGGGACCGCCGAGAAAUCUACAAUUGCACUCUUCAAUACUGUUCCUCACAACUUGGAUGUUCGACGCCGUCCCGGAGGUUUCCGAUCUCGGGUCUCAAUGUCUUCAAAUCGAAUUUUUUGAGAACUAGGCACCUAGAAGAAACUUUUUAAGCCACCUACAAGAAUGAUGAAACAUAUAUGAAACAUAGC